CGAGGUUCUAGGAUGCCGCACCUCGGAAUCAGGCUCCCUCCUCUUUGGUUCCAGGUGCGUCAAUCGAGAACCGCA
rfam:Myotis brandtii contig261844, whole genome shotgun sequence.